AAGUUAUAUAAGCUACUCUAAUUAAAACUCCUAAAAUAAGAAAAAUUAAAUUAAUAGAAAUUAAAAUUAAAUCAAUUAUUAUUUGUAUAAAAUACAUUUAAAGAUUCUAAAUCUAUUGCACUAAUCUGCCAAAAUAAUUAAUUGUAUUCAAAAAUAAAAUAAUUUAUUAUAUAAAUGGUCCUUUCGUACUAAAAUAUAUUAAUUAUUUAAAGAUAGAAACCAACCUGGCUCACACCGGUUUAAACUCAGAUCAUGUAAAAUUUUAAAGGUCGAACAGACCUAAUGUUUUAGCACCUACACCAAAAAUAAAUUUUAAUCCAACAUCGAGGUCGCAAUCUUUCCUUUAAAUUUGAACUUUUAAAGAAAAUUACGCUGUUAUCCCUAAGGUAAUUUAAUCUUUUAAUCAAAAAAUAUUGGAUCAAAUAUUCAUUAAUCUAUGUAAUAAAUUAAAAAAAGUUUAUUUAAUUUUUUAGUCACCCCAACCAAAUUAUUUAAAAAAUAAAUAAAAUAAUUUCUAUAAAUUAAUUUAUUUUCUUAAUAAUUAAACUCUAUAGGGUCUUCUCGUCUUUUAAAUUUAUUUAAGCUUUUUAACUUAAAAAUAAAGUUCUAAAAAAAUUAAAUUGAGACAGUCAUUUUUUCAUUAAACCAUUCAUUCCAGCUUUCAAUUAAAAAACUAAUGAUUAUGCUACCUUUGCACAGUCAAAAUACUGCGGCCCUUCAAAAUUUUCAGUGGGCAGGCCAUACUUUAAAUUAUUUUCAAAAAGAGAUGUUUUUGUUAAACAGGCGA
rnacentral:rRNA from 1 species